UUGGCUGAACAUCUUUCUGAUCAUUUAUAUCAUAGAGCAAAAACAUUCAUGUUAUUGAAUAAAAGCAUUCA